rnacentral:pre_miRNA from 1 species
AUUAUACUCCCUCCGUCCAGAAAUACUUGUCGCAGAAAUGAAUAAAAGUGGAUGCAUCUAAAACUAAAAUACGACUAGAUACAUCCAUUCCUUCGACAAGUAUUUCCGGACGGAGGGAGUAUUUG